GAGUGGAGAGCGUGUACGAACUCUGCUCGGGGCGCGAGUCGUUCUGGUGUACUUCCCCGAUAUCAGAAUGACCGCCCCGGGCAGGGCUCUAUACGUUCCCCGCGGCAAC
rfam:Corynebacterium genitalium ATCC 33030 chromosome, whole genome shotgun sequence.